UUACCUGGCCUUGACAUACUAAGAACUUUCCAGAGAUGGAUUGGUGCCUUCGGGAACUUAGAUACAGGUGCUGCAUGGCUGUCGUCAGCUCGUGUCGUGAGAUGUUGGGUUAAGUCCCGCAACGAGCGCAACCCUUUUCCUUAUUUGCCAGCGGGUUAAGCCGGGAACUUUAAGGAUACUGCCAGUGACAAACUGGAGGAAGGCGGGGACGACGUCAAGUCAUCAUGGCCCUUACGGCCAGGGCUACACACGUGCUACAAUGGUCGGUACAAAGGGUUGCUACCUCGCGAGAGGAUGCUAAUCUCAAAAAGCCGAUCGUAGUCCGGAUCGCAGUCUGCAACUCGACUGCGUGAAGUCGGAAUCGCUAGUAAUCGCGGAUCAGAAUGCCGCGGUGAAUACGUUCCCGGGCCUUGUACACACCGCCCGUCACACCAUGGGAGUUUGUUGCACCAGAAGUAGGUAGUCUAACCGCAAGGAGGACGCUUACCACGGUGCGGCCGAUGACUGGGGGUGAAGUCGUAACAAGGUAGGCGUAGAUGA
rnacentral:rRNA from 1 species